AUGCAAAUAGAACAGGCCCGUAGACAAAGCGAAAUGCAAAUAGAACAGGCCCGUAGACAAAGUGAAAUGCAAAUGGAACAGGCCCAAAGGCAAGGUGAAAUAGAAAUGCUUAGAAUAAGGAUGGAUGCUACUGCCAAAAAGGUAAGGGCUGAGACUUUGGCCAAGGCCCUAAUUGAGCCACUCACAGAAGAAAAUGUAAGUCAGUUGCCGAAGCAGGACCCUUCUUCCAAGGUGCUUGUGCAUCUUAAUAGCUUAAACAGCCAGUUUUCGGAUGAGGAACAGGAAGACUUCUCUCCUUACCCAGAGCAGGGCCCCAAAGUCACUUUUGAGUUUCCUGCAGAGCAGAGCGUCAUAGCGGGGAGCUCACCCUUGCCCGAGCUACCUGUGCCUCCUGCUAAAUCCCUAGGUCAGUCAAUCAGGGCCUCAAGGCCAAGUGCUAGUUGGCCCUUACAGACAGCUGCACAGGGAGCCACCGAUUCGUCAGUGGUCGAUGUCAUCCCUCCAAGAGGCCAAAGGUUGACGCAAGGUGCACGGUGGGAGUCCACUCCACAACAGCAAACUCCUCAAUUGUUCCCUUCGACGCCAGAGUCCCAGCUUGUCUCCAUCAUCAGAAGCCCCAGAAGAGAUCUUAAGGACAAGGGUGUCGAAAAGUUUUCGGACAAGCCUGAGGAAUUUCUUCUCUGGAAGGCCACCUUCCAGAGAGCAAUCAGAGACUUAAAGUUAUUGCCUGAGGAAGAACUGACUCUUCUGGCUGCAUGGUUGGGCCCAGCCUCAUCCUCACAAGUUAAGAAGAUCUACGCAGCCCACGUAGCCGAUCCCGACAAAGCCCUGGAAAAGGCCUGGGCCAGGUUGCAGCAGAGGUAUGGGGCCAGCACAGAGAUUGAAGCAUCUCUUAUGGACAAGCUCCAAAGGUUCCCAGCUUUGAAACUCAAAGACUUCAAACUCUUGUGGGACCUCAGCGAUCUCCUUACGGAAUUAGAGUCGGCCAAGGAGAAUCCAGAACUGCCCGGUUUGAAGUGCCUCGAUCAGCACCUGUCCCAGAGGCAGAUCUUGACCAAGCUGCCCUUCACUUUGCAAGAACGCUGGGGACAGGAGGUCUUCAACUACAAGGAGGCCCACUCCCAGGCAUACCCUCCAUUUUCUCAUUUGGUCCAGUUCAUCACCAGGGCGGCCAGAGAAAGGAAUGAUCCGCAGACGGGCCUCCCCACCUUAUACCAAGGGACUCAGCCAGAGAAGGCACCUGAAGUGGACAAGAAACCACCUAGAGAGGCCAAUAGACCUGUCAGCGUAAAGGCAGUCGAAACUCAACACAAGACUGAUGAACCCAGGUCGGAGGUAAAAGAGGUGCUCUGCCCCAUUCACCAAAAGCCUCACAGUUUGGCCAACUGCCGGGAAUUUGGCAAGAAGCCUUAUAAAGAAAGACAACAGAUUGUACAGAAGCUGGGCAUAUGUUUUAAGUGCUGUGGAGCAACUCCUCACUUUGCAUCCAACUGCAAAGAGGACGUCAAAUGCGCAAGGUGUAACAGCCUUAAGCAUUGCACCGCGAUGCACAACUCUGACGCUGUCUCCCGCGCCAAAGGGGACACGUCUUCCAAAGAAGGGUCAUCUACUGAAGCCACCAACGUGCAGACCGCAUCACGGAUGCAGGAGGAUGCUCCAUCGGUCGCCUGUACUGAACUAUGCUCUGACGUGCACCAGUUCAGAGUCUGCCAUCCCAUCUGCCUAGCAGAUGUAUAUCCAGCCAGAAGACCUUGGCUUAAAAAGAGACUUUACGUGGCUUUGGAUUCACAAAGCGACGCCUCCCUGGCGACUCCAGAGUUUUUCCAACUGUUUGACAUAAAAACCCAGACGGUCGACUACACCAUGUCCACCUGUGUAGGGAAGAAGAAGUUGCAGGGUCGCAUAGCAUCCGGCUUUGUUGUCUCCUCUUGUGACCAGAAGAGACUGUUCGAGUUACCAGACCUCAUUGAGUGUUCCUCUAUUCCCCGGAACAAAAGGCAGAUUGUCACCAGAGAAGUCGUGGAAGCCCAUCCUCACUUGCGAAAGCUGAAGAACGCCUUACCUGCUUUCCGUCCAGAUGUGGACAUUGCCCUUCUACUUGGUGCGGACUGCCCGAACUUGUUCUAUGUGAACGACCAAGUUAAGGGACCUCCAGGGGCGCCCAUUGCUCAGCUGCUACCACUAGGCUGGACAGUUACAGGCCCGGUGUGCAUAAAUAGGAUGCACCCUCCAUCGUCGGUGGGCACUCGUCAUGCGCACGUGCUUCAAGGCAGUCGCCCCACACUAAUGCAUAGCUGUUUGAGUCAUGUCUCGGUCUAUUGUCAGGGGAUAACACCAGAGUAUUCUUCCAUCUUUGAAGUCUCCGAAAGGGAUGAAACUACAGCGCUUUCCAAAGAUGAACAGAGGUUUUUAGAGAUCAUGAACUCUCAAGUUUCCCGGAGUCCAGAGGGAAGUUGGAUAGCCCCUCUGCCUUUUAAAGCAGAAAAACCCACUUUGCCAAACAACAGGCAUGUGGCAGAAAAUAGACUCUGGUCACUGAAGAAGAAGAUGCAGAAAGACCCCAAGGUAAAAGAGCAAAUCGUUGGCUUUAUGGAAGACAUGUUCCAAAGUAACUACGCCGAAGUCAAUUUUCCAUCAGCCUUUUCUCCCACCGAUAAUACAGAAUUGCCCGAGUCCGUUCCAGAGGUGAAAGUUUGCAAGAUGACCACAGAAAUCAAGAUGGGCCAAAGAUCUUGCCUGGAACGACACCAUUUUGAACGUUUUUCGGAAUGGCACAGUCUUCUUAGAGCAGUUGCUAGGCUUAUACAUCGCUUAGUCUGCAAAGAUAGUCAGCCUUUGCAAGUUCAGGACAUGUUGAAGGCUAAGGGAGUAAUAUUCAGGUCAAUUCAGAGGCAUGAGUUUAGUCUAGAAAUAGCCAGGUUAGAACAAGGGCUUGACACCCCCAGCCGGAGUUUCUUGCGUGAGUUAAACCCAUUUCUAGACAAGGAGGGCAUUUUAAGAGUGGGAGGGAGGUUAGCUAAGGCUAAACUCAAAGUGUGUACAAAGAACCCCAUCAUUGUACCCCCCAAUAGCCAUAUUGCUUUGUUGUUGGUUCGUCACUACCAUGAGAAAAUCCAUCAUCAGGGUAGAACUCUAACUGAGGCAGCCCUUAGAAAUGAAGGUCUGUGGGUAGUUAAUGCCAAAAGGUUGGUCAACAGUUGUAUUUUUAAGUGUGUCAAAUGUCGGCGACUCAGACGUAACUGUCAGAGUCAGCUGAUGGCUGAGUUACUUCAGGACAGGACUUUGACAGACCCCCCCUUUUCCCAUGUGGGAAUCGAUGUGUUUGGUCCUUGGGAGGUUGUCACUAGGAAAACCAGGGGUGGUGUUGUAAAUAACAAGAGGUGGGCAGUUUUGUUUACUUGUUUAGUAAUACGAGCUGUCCAUAUAGAAGUCAUAGAAGGGAUGGACACUUCAUCAUUUUUAAACGCAUUAAAAAGGUUCAUAGCCCUCAGAGGGCCAAUUAAGUCAAUUCGGUCGGACUGUGGCACCAAUUUUGUAGGUGCGACCAAAGAACUCAAUUGUGUGUCUAGGUUUGGGAGAGACCCAAAGGUUCAGAACUUUACGAAUACUGAACAAAUUAUGUGGACUUUCAAUGUUCCUCACGCCUCCCACAUGGGUGGUGUUUGGGAGAGGAUGAUUGGUAUUAGUCGCAAAAUCCUUAAUGCCAUGCUUUUGAGUCAUAGGUCAUUGACGCAUGAUGUUUUGGUGACACUUAUGGCGGAAGUUACCGCAAUUAUCAACAACCGGCCGCUGGUUCCCCUUACCAGUGACCCUGAGAACUUACAACCACUGACUCCUGCACUUAUUUUGACACAAAAGGUGCCAGGAUGGAAGGACAUCAUGUUGCCAGUUCCGGACGGAACUCACCGUGCCCUGUGGAAACAGGUGCAGUCCUUGGCCAACCACUUUUGGAAAAGGUGGAAAGCUGAGUACUUAAGCCAGCUUCAAGCUAGAAGAAUCUGGCAAAGCCCACAGGACAACAUUGAGGUUAACAACGUUGUGUUGUUAAAGGACAAAGACUUGCCCCGCCAUGCGUGGCCCAUGGGCAUUGUAUUAAAGACCUUUCCUUGCCCGGACGGUAAGGUCAGGAAAGUUCAAUUAAAGACUUGCAACAGAGGCAAAGUGUCCAUUUUGGACAGACCAAUUAGUGACCUCGUGUUGCUUAUUGGAGAUGUUUAA
rnacentral:lncRNA from 1 species